rnacentral:rRNA from 1 species
GUACUGGCCUUACUGAUUCCUCCUUCUUGAAGAACUGUGAUGUCAUUUAUUUGGUGUUGCAGGGAAACAGGACUGUUACUUUGAAAAAAUUAGAGUGUUUAAAGCAGGCUAACGCUUGAAUACAUUAGCAUGGAAUAAUGAAAUAGGACGUUUGAUCCUAUUUUGUUGGUUUCUAGGAUUGACGUAAUGAUUAAUAGGGAUAGUUGGGGGCACUAGUAUUCAAUUGUCAGAGGUGAAAUUCUUGGAUUUAUUGAAGACUAACUACUGCGAAAGCAUUUGCCAAGGAUGUUUUCAUUAAUCAAGAACGAAAGUUAGGGGAUCGAAGACGAUCAGAUACCGUCGUAGUCUUAACCAUAAACUAUGCCGACUAGGGAUCGGAUGAUGUUAAUUUUUUA